GCGGCUAAGUCUUGGCUGGCAACUGGGUAAGCAGUCUGGCCCAUCACUCACUACAGGAUGAAGCUGCUUCCCUGGGCUCUCUGCCUUCGUGGGCUCAGCAGAUCGGCAGCCGCUUGGAAGUAUCUGGUGCCCAGGAGCUCCAAGGGGCCCAGGGAGAGAUGCUGGGCUUCCAUCUGGACUGUUGGAACCAAGUCUGAUCUGCUGUCUGAACCGUAUGUGACUGCAAGGAUCAUGCGGCCAGACGAUGCCAACGUGGCCGGCAACGUCCAUGGGGGAACCAUCCUGAAGAUGAUCGAGGAGGCGGGGGCCAUCAUCAGCACCCGGCACUGUAACAGUCAGAAUGGGGAGCGCUGCGUGGCUGCCCUGGCCCGGGUCGAGCGCACUGACUUCCUGUCACCCAUGUGCAUUGGCGAGGUGGCCCACGUCAGCGCGGGGAUCACCUACACCUCCAAGCACUCCGUGGAAGUACAGGUCAACGUGAUGUCCGAAAACAUCCUCACAGGUACCAAGAAGCUGACCAAUAAGGCCACGCUGUGGUAUGUGCCCCUGUCGCUGAAGAACGUGGACAAGGUCCUGGAGGUGCCUCCAGUCGUGUAUUCCCGGCAGGAGCAAGAGGAGGAAGGCCGAAAGCGGUAUGAGGCCCAGAAACUGGAGCGCAUGGAGACCAAGUGGAGGAAUGGCGACAUCGUCCAGCCCGUGCUGAACCCAGAGCCGAACACGGUCAGCUACAGCCAGUCCAGCUUGAUCCACCUGGUGGGGCCUUCGGACUGCACGCUGCAUGGCUUUGUGCAUGGAGGUGUCACCAUGAAGCUCAUGGAUGAGGUGGCUGGGAUCGUAGCUGCUCGUCACUGCAAGACCAACAUAGUCACGGCUUCCGUGGACGCCAUUAACUUUCAUGACAAGAUCAGAAAAGAAUUGGCCGUAUCCGACAUGAAGGAGUCCCUGGUGUGUCAUCACCAUCUCUGGGCGCAUGACCUUCACAAGCAACAAGUCCAUGGAAAUCGAGGUCCUGGUGGAUGCUGACCCUGUGGUGGACAACUCGCAGAAGCGCUACCGGGCUGCCAGCGCCUUCUUCACCUACGUGUCCCUGAGCCAGGAGGGCAAGCCACUGCCCGUGCCCCAGCUCGUGCCCGAGACCGAGGAUGAGAAGAAGCGCUUUGAGGAAGGCAAAGGGCGGUACCUGCAGAUGAAGGCGAAAAGACAGGGGCAAGUGGAGCCUCAGCCCUAGACGCCCUCCUCCUGCACUGGCCCCGGAGCAGCCCCCAUCGUCUAAUCACUUAGAAGUUACUCCCUUGGCCAAAAACCCAAUUCACGUUGAGAGCUGGUGUUGUGUGAAGUAUCCGUCUCGCAGUGUUAACCUGUACUCUCCUGAAAACCUAUACACCAAAGCUUGAUUUGUAUCAUUCCAGUGUAAAUGCUACACAGUAUUGUCCCAAUGCCCAGAGGCAGUCCCUGGAGACCCUGGGAAUACUUGUGCGCACACUGUGCGGUCUGUAAAGAAUCCAGCAUCACUAAUAAAGCUGCUGUUUGGCUGGACCUUG